UAAGCUUGUCGAAUUGCACUGACCUUAUCCCAUCAGGAAAAUCUCAAGUGAAGAAAUUUUGUGAAGAAGAAAAUUGUCAGUCAUUUAAAAAAUAUAUUAUUUGUUACAAGAAUUCGUUAAAACAUAUUGUAAUUAAAGCAAAAACGAAGCAAGAGUCGAUGUUGAAAUUUGUGAAAUGUGUUAACAGCAACUUCAAAUAAAUAGAAAAUUCACCAUCCUGUUUGUUGAGAGUUUAAAUAUUGCAGACAAUUAUGUUUAAAUUAUAUAUAUUAUCAUUUAACUUACGAUAUUUGUCGUA